GUUCAAGUUGCCAUAGCAGAGGAUGGCGGUGUCUUACAUUGAUCCCCUAAGAUAACCAUCAAACCGCUGGGCUCACGGGUAGGGGUAGUUUUAUCCAUUGGCUCAUGUCAGCAUGGACUCCUCCAGUGAAUCUGACACCUAUGACAGACCCAGGGGGCAUCGAUCGCGGGUCAGAGAGAGACGAAUAAGGCCUGACAGCAGGUUUCCUAGGGAUACGCAUGUAUCAGACAUAUCAGACAAAAUUGACACUUUAGCAAACACUCUACAGGAUACAAGCCGAAAUCUAAACAAAGUGGAUCAGAUGUUGGGACAGUAUAAGGAACACACAGACGACCAAGCUGAAGCCAUGGCGACGCUGAGGGAGAGCUUAGAGGAGUCCAUCCAGCAUCUGCAGGGGCAGCGGCUGAGGAGGACCACCGGUAGGUGGAGCGCCUCCCUCUCUACACUGCACACCAGUGACCUGGAAGAUGGCAGCGCCUCAGAUGGGAGGCACUACCUCCCCACGUCCCCUUUGAGAGAUUAUGGGAGUGUGGACACAGGUAACAGAAGACGGUCUAGAUCUGUCGCAGUGCAUUUCAGAGACUCCGCUCAAGCUGAAGAGCAGGUUCACUCAAUACAUCAGUCCCUAAGAGACCUGCGGAGUGAUCAGCUUCGGAUUGGUGAUGACAUUAAUAGAGAGAUCAGCAGAAGAAACAGGACUGACAUAGAAACCAAGAAGACAUUGGAGAAUCUUGUAGGCCACAUACAAGCACCACAGAGAGAAGAACCCGUCUCGUUACGGGUGGAGAGACGUCUACAGGAGAUUGAGGAUGAGAUGCGCCCGGGGCGGCAGAUGCUUUCUAAAAAAUAUCACAGAGAGAAACCAAAAAGCAUGUCUGGAGAACUGCAGGAGGCUUUGAGAAGUCAUGACACCCAAACUCCGGAGGCUGAUGAGACCUUCAGAAAUAGACUGCAGAGAUCAGAGAAUGAGAGAAGCAAGAUGCAGCAGGAAUUGGAGAGACUCAGAAAGCAGCUGGAUCAAUCAGAAGGUGGACGAGACACCCUUCUCCAUCAGAUGGAUGACAUGCGUUCUCAGCUUCUGAGGAUGGAGCAGGAUCGUGUAGAUUUGCAGAGGGAGUUGUCUUUACUCUCGUCUCAGCAGAGAAGUGCAAGGAGACCCCAGGAGAGAGGGGUCACAAGCUUUGACAGUGGAUGCACAGACCUGGAGAGAGAAAUUGAAGAACUGCGGGUGCAGCUGGGUAGAAUCAGUGUUUCUAGUGAGAUGGAAGAACUGAAAAAAUGCGUAGAACGCAAAGAGAGAGAGAAAACUCAGCUCGCUUUCCAGGUUGAGGCUCUUUCUGCAGAUCUGCAGCGGCGUGAGCAGCAGCAGUUGAAGAUGUUGACCCAACUAAAGGAGAUCCAGUCUCGUUCUGAAGACAACGGGUCAGAAUGUGCCCGUUUGGAGGCCCAGCUGAUGGAGAGCGAGAGAAGGAGAGAGGAGCUGUGCUCUAAAGUUCAGGUUGCAGUCCGACAGUGGAAGACUAAGUGCAAGAGACUUGAGCGAGAGCUUCAGGAACUAAAGGAGGAGUGCAGAAACAACACUGAUAAACGGAGCAAAGAGAGAGAAGGUGUUCUUAGCCAGCAGGCAGAGGGUGCACGCCAACAGCUCGCUGAUGCCCUCAAACGUCUCGCUCAGCGUGAAGAGGAUGUACACCGCUGUCAUGUGGAUAUUGCUGAAGCUCGUUCACAGCUUGUCACUUUAGAACUUGAGCUCCAAGAGGCUCAGGAAAGCUUGAGAGGCCACGAAGAGGAGGCCCAGAAGCAGAUCUCCUUACAGGUCCGUAUGAGAGAGGAAAACAUCAGGCUGAAGGAGCGUGUGGAGCUCCAGGAGCGGAGGAGAGAGGAGGAGCAGAGAUCUCUGCUUGAUCUCCAGGGCUCUGUCAAGAACCUGAGCACUGCGAGAGCUGACCUCACUGCCAGACUGGCUGAGGUGGAGAGCUCCAAGAAGGAUCUAGAAAAACAGCUCACUGCGGCUCAGGAAGAGAGCUCCUCUUUUGGACGACAGCUGGAACUGGAAAGGCAGGUGCAUCAGAAGGAGCUGAGCCAUCUCCGAACAACACAGCAAGAAUGCAAAGCAAAACAGGACAGAGACGUACACGACAUGCUGAGAUUAUACCAGCGAGAACGAGACGAACUGGAGGCUCUCGUCAGAGACCUUAAGUCAGAGGCAGUGGCGGAUAGUGAGCUGAGGAGAGCUCUGCAGCUGAAGCUGGACAAAAUGAAGACUGAAUGUGAUAAACUGACAGAGCAACUGAGCUUCAGCAAGGAGAGUCACGCUCAGCUCCUUCGCAAAUACCAUGCCCUCAGAAAAGAGCUGGAUGUAAAGGUGAAUUUAGCAGAGAGGGAGGAGGAUAGGCGGCAGACUGCAGAACACUCCAUGGUGGAGCUGCGUGAGAGGGUCACGGGCCUCCAGACAGAGCAGGAGUCUAUCUUCGAUGCCGUAGGAGCUCAAAUUGACUCAGCCUGCCAGUUCUUGUCAAAAGACUCAGCCACCAAGCUUGAAGCCAUUACCCUGACUCCAGGAAUGCAAAAGGAUUCCCAUCGCUGGCUUGCUGAGGUUAAGACAAAGCUCCAGUGGCUGUGCGAGGAGGUGCGUGAGCGUGAAUCCAGUGAGAGGAGGUUGAGGAGGACACUGCAGCAGCACAAGGAGCAGAUGAAAGCACUGAAGCAAAGCAGAGACUCAGAACUGCAGAGCCUCCUGGACCGCAUUACCCUGCAGGAUCGGCUCCUCAAAGACAUCCAAUCAGAGAAAAGAGGUUUACCGUAGUCUGCCAGAUCUGAGAUGAAGGACCUGCGCCUAGACAUGAUGAAAACGCAGCCCUGAAGUGUCAACUUAACUAUCCCCUGCAAAGGCCUCCUUCCCUUUAUAGAUAAAACGUUAUCAAAAUUAUUCCAGAUAUAGAUCCGCAUAGAUCCGUGGACACAACUAAUUUUUCUGUAUUAUGUGGACCAGACAAGUAAUUUGGCAAUAUCACUUUGUAAAAAAGACCAAGCGUCUGCACACAUACACAUUCAAAUGCUCAAACCUAUAGCAAGUAUGCAUUAAAGGUCUUUGGUUUUCAGUAGGAAAGGUGUCAUUUAAUUGGCCCCUAAGUUAAUAAUUAACAAUUUUUACAACUGAAGUAAUUCAAUCAAAAACCUACUUUAGCUUGAUAAUAUUUUCUUAGAGCUGCUAUAAAGCUAAAACAAUCUCUUUCAAUUUUCCUAUUAUCACUGUGAAGCUGCUUUGAAACAAUCUGUAUUGUGAAAAGCGCUAUAUAAAUGAAGAUGACUUGACUUGAAUUCAUUCUAAACAGCAAAUGCGUACACGCAUGCUUACAUUUACUUUGUGGUGGGCAUGUGAUUUUUAAAAAUCCUAUUGAUAGUAUUUUUUUUAAUCUCCACAUGGUGCAGUUUACUGCUGCUCGUGAAAACGAGCUGUGAUACAUCCACUCCAUAACGUGAAAAUCUAUGGUUAAAGCACUUCUUUAGUGGUCGAGCAGAAAUUAAUUUCCAGCCACAAACCGCGACGGUACCCGCGGCAACAAAAAACGCAUUCUGGUUGAGUGCCAUCUGUAUAAGCUAGUUAUUUUAGAUUAUAAAGUUUUAAAUAUGGAUGUUUUUCUUACAAAAACUCAUUGCUUUGUUUCAGAAGGCCUUUAUUAACCCCCUGGAGCCUUAUGGAUUGUAUUUAUGAUGUAUGGAUGCAUUUAUUUUUGUCUUCAAAACAGGCCCCCCAUUCUCUACCAUUAUAAAUCUUUCGAGAGCAAGGAUAUUUUUAAAUAUGUCUUUGAUUGUGUUUGUCUAAAAGAAGAUGAACUACCCCUUUAAGUACUUACCCUCAUGUUGUCCCAGACCCGUAAGACCUUCGUUCAUCUUCGGAACACAAAUUAAGAUAUUUUUGAUGAAAUCUGAGGGUUUCUGAACCACACAUAGGCAAGCAACAUCAUUGCACCUUUUGAGGUCCAGAAAGGUAUUAAAGACCUCAUUAAAAUAGUCAACGUGACUACAGUGGUUCAACCUUAAUGUUACGGAGCGACGACAAUACAUUUUGUGCGCAAAAACAAAAUAACGACUUUAUUUAACAAUUUGAACUGUUGUCAUAUGCAGUUGACGUAGUGAACGCAGUACAGGCUUCCGUGUUUACGUCUGAACGCCGGCUCAGUAUUGGCUGACGCUGUACACGUGAACAGCAUGACGCAUGCAUGUAAUGCUGAUGCAGGAGCUGGAAACGGAAACAUGGAACAGGAAGCCUGCACUGCGUUCACUACCUCAACUGCGUAUGACAACAGUUCAAAUCAACAGUUUAUGGUAGGUUUAUUUUAAUGGAUAGAGACAGAAUAUCAAUCAAAAAAUUCAGAAAAAACACACUGUAUAAAGGUUUAUAAAUUGGCAGCGCGAUUUACUGUAAUGCUUUUUUUUCCCUCAGUUGGUCAGAACAAAAGUGGCAGACAUGUUACUUACUUGUUCAGAUGACAUUUUUUGAUGAAAAUUCUUACUUUGGUCAUACUUCAAGACUGCAAUCUGUGAUUCUGAAGUACAGUAUCCACACCGUUGUGGUGACUGACAGCAAACAUUAGAUUCAUCUGCUCUGAGGAGUCGUGCCAAGGCACAACCCAUGUAAAAAUGAUAAUUCUGCAAACAACUGCAUUUGCAGGUUUCAAACAGAGAUGGUGACAAAGAGGCAAAACUUACGGGCUGCAACUUUAAAUUAAUUAACCGUGCUCUGGCCUACCUCUUCCAAGCGGGCCAGGGACGGUUAAACGAACUGCGCCCAGGCACGGUACGGAGCGAUCACACUAGUCAAAUGAACCAGAUUUUGGGGGUCAAACACACACAAGCACGGUUCAGAUCACCUAGUGUGAGUACACCCUCAGUGUUUUAGCUCCCUCCACAGAUUUUCUAUAGGAUUAAGGUCUGGUGACUGGCUAGGCCACUUUGUUUUCUUGGUGGUAUGUUUUGGUUCAUUGUCAUGCUGGAAGACCCAUCCAUGCACGACCCAUCUUCAGUUUUCUGGCUGAGGGAAGGAGGUUCUCGUCCAAGAUUUUAUGGUACAUUGACCCAUUGAUCGGCCCCUCAAUGCGGUGAAGUCGUCCUGUACCCUUAACAGAGAAACAGCCCCAAAGCAUAAUGUUUCCACCUCUGUGCUUGACUGUGGGGAUGGUGUUAAUGGGGUCAUAGUCGAGCAUCUGUGGGAAGUGCAGAACAAACAAGUCCGAUCCAUGGAGGCCCCACCUCGCAACUUACAGGACUUAAAGGAUCUCCUGCUAACAUCUUGGUGCCAGAUACCACAGCACACCUUCAGGGGUCUAGUGGAGUCCAUGCCUCGACGGGUCAGGGCUGUUUUGGCAACAAAAGGGGGACCAACGCAGUAUUAGGAAGGUCUUCUUGAAAAUGGCCGCAAGAAAGAAGAAGAGAUGAGAAAUCUUCAGGACCGAGUUAUAGAUCUUGAAAUGAGCACCAGGCUGGCCUUGGAUCAUCUGGAGUCAGUUCCUGAGAAACUCAGUCUGCUGGAAAACUUCAAGGAUUUCGAGGAGUCACAGAGGCAGAGAGGAAUGGUGGAACAACGUUAUGCCAAAUAUAAGGAGAUAGUUGGGGACCUCCAGCAUCAGCUUG